rnacentral:rRNA from 1 species
GACGAACGCCGGCGGCGUGCUUAACACAUGCAAGUCGAACGGUGAAAGCGGAGCUUGCUCCGCUGGAUCAGUGGCGAACGGGUGAGUAACACGUGGGCAACCUGCCCCUCACUUCGGGAUAACUCCGGGAAACCGGGGCUAAUACCGGAUAUGACCUCCUUGGGCAUCCUUGGAGGUGGAAAGUUUUUCGGUGAGGGAUGGGCCCGCGGCCUAUCAGCUUGUUGGUGAGGUAGUGGCUCACCAAGGCGACGACGGGUAGCCGGCCUGAGAGGGCGACCGGCCACACUGGGACUGAGACACGGCCCAGACUCCUACGGGAGGCAGCAGUGGGGAAUAUUGCGCAAUGGGCGAAAGCCUGACGCAGCGACGCCGCGUGCGGGAUGACGGCCUUCGGGUUGUAAACCGCUUUCAGCAGGGAAGAAGCCGCAAGGUGACGGUACCUGCAGAAGAAGCACCGGCUAACUACGUGCCAGCCGCCGCAGUAA